AUUGAACGCUGGCGGUAUGCUUAACACAUGCAAGUCGAACGAUGAGAAAGAGCUUGCUCUUUCGAUUAGUGGCGGACGGGUGCGUAACGCGUAGGAAUCUACCUAUUAGUGGGGGACAACUUAGGGAAACUUAAGCUAAUACCGCAUACGCCCUACGGGGGAAAGAAGGGGAUCGCAAGACCUUUUGCUAAUAGAUGAGCCUGCGUAGGAUUAGCUAGUUGGUGGGGUAAAAGCUCACCAAGGCGACGAUCCUUAACUGGUUUGAGAGAAUGAUCAGUCACACUGGAACUGAGACACGGUCCAGACUCCUACGGGAGGCAGCAGUGGGGAAUAUUGGACAAUGGGCGAAAGCCUGAUCCAGCAAUACCGCGUGUGUGAGGAAGGCCUUAGGGUUGUAAAGCACUUUCAAUUGGAAGGAAAACCUCGAAGCUAAUACCUUCGAGUUUGACAUUACCUUUAGAAGAAGCACCGGCUAACUCCGUGCCAGCAGCCGCCGCCGUAA
rnacentral:rRNA from 1 species